CAGUGCAUGGAGGGGGAAGCGCGCGGAGCCACCUAACCCCGCUUACCUCAGGAGGCUCCCGGCCAGCAGUGUGCAGCAGGGCUAAGGCAGGUUCCCUUCCUGCCAUGAAAAAUGGAGCCCAAGCUCCUGGGGUCAAGUGCAUAUGACAUAAUUACAGCCAUCAGCCUCAAAAAAAAGCUUUUUUUGUUUGGCAAGAAGCUGGAAGGAAAAAUCGUACAAUGAAACAGGGUGAGAGCCUGGAUAGUUGCUCCCAAUUUCUCUAUCACCAUGAAUAGCACCAUAAAGGGCUCUGCAGUGAGAAGAAUCAUCUGAGGUCUCUCACCUUUCACUCCAGGGGCGCCAGCAGGACCUCUUUCUCCUGAUUGAACAAAAAAUAAGAUAGUAAAGACUGAUCAGCGAU